UUUCUGUAACAAAGAUUGACUGUCCUAGUCCCAGAGCCUGUAAUGGUGUACCCACUGGGGCUGGCUGGGGAAGAAGGAAGUUUGUUCCAGAAGGAACUGUCUGAGUGAU